GUAGGUGGCAAGCGUUGUCCGGAAUUAUUGGGCGUAAAGCGCGCGCAGGCGGUUCUUUAAGUCUGAUGUGAAAGCCCACGGCUCAACCGUGGAGGGUCAUUGGAAACUGGAGAACUUGAGUACAGAAGAGGAAAGCGGAAUUCCACGUGUAGCGGUGAAAUGCGUAGAGAUGUGGAGGAACACCAGUGGCGAAGGCGGCUUUCUGGUCUGUAACUGACGCUGAGGCGCGAAAGCGUGGGGAGCAAACAGGGAUUGGAUACCCUGGUAGUCCACGCCGUAAACGAUGAGUGCUAAGUGUUAGGGGGGUUUCCCGCCCCCUUAGUGCUGCAGCUAACGCAUUAAGCACUCCGCCUGGGGAGUACGGCCGCAAGGCUG
rnacentral:rRNA from 1 species